GCUGAACCCCGCCGUCCUCUCCCUCUGUGUUCCUUCCAUGCUGCCACAGCCUGGGGACAGCAGAGCUCCUCUCCAGGAACAGGAAGAGCAGCCCAGGAAACCAGACCCCGAGUCUCCAGCCUCAACGUGAGGCACCCGCUCGCUCUGUGCGUCCUCAGAGCACACCUUCUCCCUGUUGGAGAGACGCUCAGAAGGAAGAUGGCGGAGAUACAGCCGGACAUCGGCCUCUGUGUCACAGCCAGCUAUCACAGGAGCAGCAGACCACGACCCCCCCCCUUGUGACACCUUCUAACGUACAUGGAAGCACUGGCUGGUUUGCCUCAGCAGGGACACUGUCAUUAUAGCAGGACGU